UCCUGCGUAGCUCAGCGGUAGAGCGGGUGGCUGUUAACCACUAGGUCGUAGGUUCGAAUCCUACCGCAGGAGCCA
rnacentral:tRNA from 1 species